CGCUGCAAAUAAUGAAAUAUAUAUAUAUAUAUAUUAUCCCACGCGAGACUUGGAAAAUCCGUUGAACGAGAAUUGUGCGCUCGAGUUUCAUUCGUGGAGUGGGGUCGAAUCGAAAACGAAGCUCGUCAAGUGAGCCAGGACCCGAAUCACCGCAUUAUGACACGAGACUUAGAAAGAGAAAGAGAGAGAAGGAGGGGGAAAGGAAAAAAGCGGCUGUUUUCUGUAUGGCCUCAUUGUGCGCACGUCAUCGUGCUGUCAUGGCGCUUAUAGAAGCGAGGUUUGGGAUGGAUUGAGAAGCAUGGCGGGAGAAAGAGAGACGAAGAGGAAUGGGUGGGAAGAGGAGGGAAA